GCAUUGGUGGUUCAGUGGUAGAAUUCUCGCCUUUCAUGUAGGAGAACCAGGUUCGAUUCCCAGACAAUGCA
rnacentral:tRNA from 1 species